CGAGAGGCUCUGAGAUGUCGCCGCCGCCGCCGCCGCACUUCCUCGUCCUCACCUACCCGCUCCAGGGCCACAUCGCCCCGGCGUUCCGCCUCGCCAGGCGCCUGCUCGCCGUCGCGCCCGACGUGCUCGUCACAUUCUCCACCACCGAGUCCGCGCACGGGCGCUUGUUCGCGGCCAAGCCGGAGGGAGGCCCCAACGGCGGCGACGGCGGCCGCCUCGAGUUCCUCCCGUUCUCCGACGGCACCGAGUGCGGGUACGCUGGCGGCGGCGGCGUCGAGGAGUUCAACGCCUACAUGGCGUCCUUCCACGCCGCGGGCCCGCGCAGCGUCGGGGAUAUCGUCGACGCGCUGGCGGCGCGGGGCCGCCCCGUCUCCCGCGUCGUGUACACGCUCAUGCUCCCGUGGGCGGCCGACGUCGCGCGCGGGCGCGGCGUCCCAUCCGCGCUCUACUGGAUCCAGCCGGCCGUCGUGUUCGCUGUCUACCACCACUACUUCCACGGCUACGCCGGCGUCAUCGCCGAGCACCACCGCCGCGGCGACCCCUCGUUAGCCGUGGAGCUCCCGGGCCUGGCACCUCUGGCGGUCAGGGAUCUGCCGACGUUCCUCACCGAGUCCACCGACCCCGCACACUACUUCCACGCCGUCUUCCUCACGUUCCGCGACCUGUUCGACACCCUCGACAAGGAGACUUGCAAGGCUACCAUCCUCGUCAACUCGUGCCAAGAGCUCGAGGUGGGCGCACUCGCCGCCGUGGGGCCGCACGACGUGCUCCCCAUUGGUCCGGUGCUCCCGACCGGCGAAGAGGCCAGCAUCUUGAAGCCGGACGACGCCAAGUACAUGGAGUGGCUCGACACCAAGCCGGCGAGCUCCGUGGUGUACGUCUCCUUCGGAAGCCUGGCGACGAUGGCGAGGGAGCAGCUCGACGAGCUGCUCCAUGGCCUCGAGGAGAGCGGGAGGCCGUACCUCUUGGUGGUUCGGAAGGACAACAAGGCGAUGCUCGCCGGAGCCGAGGCGGAGAUGGGCGAACGUCUCAAGAACGGCAUCGCGGUGGAGUGGUGCGACCAGGCGCGGGUGCUGUCGCACGCGGCGGUGGGAUGCUUCGUGACGCACUGCGGGUGGAACUCGGUGGCCGAGAGCGUGGCGAGCGGCGUGCCCAUGGUGGGCGUGCCCAAGGUUUCGGAGCAGAGCAUGAACGCGCGGCUCAUCGAGCACGAGUGGCGCGUCGGCGUGCGCGCGGAGGUGGACAGCGGCGGCGUGCUGCGCGCCGCGGAGCUGAGGAGGUGCGUCGAGGAGGUGAUGGGGGACGGGACGGACGCGGCAGAGGUGCGGCGCAAGGCAGAGGAGUGGAAGCUGGUGGUUGCAGAGGCUAUGCGCAAUGGAGGAUCGUCGUAUUGUAGUCUCGUGGCAUUCGUAGACGGUGCAAGGAGCAGCACUUGAGUGAAGAGUGACAUGCGCCUUUGUUGUUCGUCGGAACAUCAAGAAAAUGUUUAUAGUGCAGAAUCAAUAUAAUUCAAUCUGAUUGCUAUAGUAUUUUUCGCGAGUUUAUAUGAUUUAGAACAUUUGUUCUACGUAUAUAUUUUUUGGUCCACCUAAACAUCAUUUUCCAAUCGAAAAAUCUUUUUAUUUUGUUGAAGCUAUAGUAUUUUUCUUGCAGAACAAUUCACUUUUAGCUACAACAAUUUUAUGCUAAAUAAAGAAUGUUUUUCUCACAAACUUGGAACAUUGUUCCACUCAGUGAAAUACCAUUUCAAUUUACUCCCGCCUUUCUAAAUUAUAAUUUAUUUUGUUUUUUCUCGAUACAUAGUUUUUACUAUGUAUUUAGGCAUGUCGUAUAUCUAGAUGUAUAGCAAAAGUUAUGUAUUUAGAAAGGCAUCUGAGUAGCAUCCAAUAGACUUGAGUUCAACUCCCGGAGCGAAUUAAACAAGUCUGGAUUAAAAAAAUUAUUUAAAAAAUAAGUUGGGGCUUCCCUGCUGACUUUGAAAAAAAAAGAUCAGAACGACUUACAAUUUAGGAUGGAGGAAAUACUAAUUUAGAGCUCCUAUAUUUAAAUAUUCUCAAUCUGGAACCCUAGUUUAAAAGAUACAUUGGUACAAUGGGAAUUUUAUUUGGAUGCUCACUUUAGAAUUAUAGUUUUUUCAAAAAAUUUAAAACAUUGUAGCAAAGUUUUUUCUUACCUAGAGGCAUCUAUAAAAUUAUAAUUUUAUCAAUUAAGAUUCUAUUGGCAAAGUGACUAGCAAAAUGUAACAUCGUAUGCCAACCAAGAGAUCGAGAGGGUUGGGAUAUAUAACCUAGGUUUAUAUAACAAGUGUUCAUUACAUAAUUAUUUUUAAAAUAUUCUUUAAAAAGGUUAAAAAUCUAUCGUGUGCCCAAUAAUGUGCUUGUAAACUUUUAAGGAUGAAAAGAUAGGGGAACUCUAGAUAUACAUGUCCAGCAAUCAUUUUUAGUCUAGACUAAAAUUCAUAUCACAUCGAAUAUUCGGAGACUAAUUAGGAAGACUAAACAUGAGCAAAUUAUAAAACUAAUUACACAGAUGGAGGCUAAUUCACGAGACGAAUCUAUUAAGCCUAAUUAAUCCAUCAUUAGCACAUAUUUACUGUAGCAUCACAUUGUCAAAUCAUCAUGGAGUAAUUAGGCUUAAUAGAUUCAUCUCGCAAAUUAGCCUCCAUCUGUGUAAUUAGUUUUGUAAUUAAUCUAUAUUUAAUACUCCUAAUUAGUAUCGAAACAUUCGAUGUGACAGAAAUUUUAUGAGGUUCUAAAGAACCAAACACCCUCUGAGGCACACUUUCUAGACUAGAGGCCAGACUACCAGCUGAUUAUAUGCUAAGCCAGAAAAGGGGAGACUGAAGUGCUGAUUGAUCGCUGAAACUUGCUUGUCCUUUUGCAGCAUAAUAUUUGUGUUCUUAGCAAAUGAGAAGAUAUUUGGAAAUGCUUGGCAAGGAACUUUACCACCCCAAAGAUCUUUCCAAAACAAGACAUGCUACAAUAGUAUCAAUUCCUUUAUAUGAAUCUAGUAGUUUCAUAAUAUCCCUACACUAAAAAGACCUUUUCUUGACAUGACUAGACACGUUUGCAUUGCUAUAGUGUCGGUCCCAAACUAAGGGAACCCAAGGGACAUCAACUUUAUUAAAGCAUUUGUGUAGAUUUCUCAUAAGUAAGGCUUCAUUCUAUGUUUUAAGCUUCAAGACACAUGGACCCCCACCCCUUUUUAUUUUUGGCAAGCAUACCAUUUCCCAAGAUGCUUUAGGUAUGAAUCUUGUAAUAAUCACUAUUUUAUCAUAAAAAAAGUGCACAUAGAGAAUGUUGGAUAAGAGCUAAAGACUAAAUUGGUCAGUUGAGGCCUACUGCCUGAGAUAGAAAAGUUGAGGUGCUGACCAGCCUUCUUUCAUACCUAGUGUCCAAGGGAAUAAAGUCUUUAACUUUGGGUUUAAUGAGGCCUACCGGGAGGCCAAGAUAAGCAAAGGGCAGAGAACCAAUAUAGCAGCCAAAAAACGGUGCUAGAGAGUUCAUCUUUUUGGUAUCCACAUUUAUUUGAACCAUCAUGUAUAGGAAUAGUUUACUCUUAAACCUUUGGAUCCUGCAAAGUUGUGAAGGUCUUUUACAAAGAGCAGCUAGAAUGGACAUCCCUCCAUGAUAAAUAGAGUAUCAUCAGCAUAUUGAAGAAUGUGAAAAUCUUGACUAUAUUAGACAAGCACUAUCAAUCGUAGCAUGUUGUCUUCUUUGGCUUUGUUAAGCAAAGUCUAAAGGAAAUUUGCGGCAAGAACAAAGAGCAAUGUGUAGAGUGUGUCUCCUUGCAUAAACCCUCUCUUACAAUAAAUAGUCACUAGAAACUACACGAGGCUUUGGCGCGCCAUCUUGAAAUUUGGCCAGCGUUAUCAUGUUAUAGAGGUAGUUUUUAGCAUUUUGGAUAGGGCCAUUAUUUUAAAUUGAAGUAUUUGUGGACUUUUGAUUUUCUUUUGCAUGUCCAAAUUUGCACUGGUACCUGACAUGGGACUCCUACAUGUCUGCCAUUCUCUUGUCAGUAUUAGAUUUGUAGUUCUCAAAAAAGCAAAAUGCAUAACCUCAUAUCAAAUGAACUUGCACACUUAUGUUUCUAUCUCAGUAGAUUUAGAUUGCUAAGUAUGGGUACCAGCCACUCUCUGCCUUGUAUUAUGCAACUUUCCAUCUGGAUGUGUAAUUGUAAUCGCAUCUUAUAGUUUCUAAAAAGAUUAUGAUAUUGAUUAUUUUACUAAUUAUUGGUGUUUAGACCCAGCAAUCUACCGAGAGGGUGCUCGAGGUAGUGUUUUGGUUAGUGGGGCUCGUCAAAAUCAGGAACUUAAAGGUAAACGCAGACACACGAUUCAGACAGGUUCGGGUCGCUAGAUUGAGUAAUACCCUACGUCAUGUGUUGGUUGGAUUAAAUUGCUUUGGAGGGGGUCCCUGCCUCACCUUAUAUUGCCGGGGGCAAAGUUACAGGUUGGUUGGUUACAAAAAUACUAGUCGGAUACAACUAGAAGAGUUCUACUCUUAUUACAACAAGUAGUUUUCCUAAUCCUCAACUAGUUCUUGUCUUUCUAUGUAGACUACGCCAUCCUGCGCCAUGGUCUCCAUGUUAGAUGUGUCUCGGUGUCCAACCCUAUAUUAAUUUAGGACUGUUCAAACCUUCUGGUGGGCCCAUAGAUGUAUGUACGACACUAAUUUUUUUCGAAAUGGCAUUUGCAUCCAUUUGUAUGAACUAUAAACUCCAUUUUCAUAUUUGUUUUAGAUAAUUGUAACAUGCACAAAAUACUAGCAUGAAAAGCUGCAAAGACAUUAUUUCAUUGCAUAUGACUUAUUGUGUUUUCUUCUCUAGGUCAACCCUGAUUUUGUGAAUUUAGAUUGCCAGUAUGCAAUAAAUGAUCGAUGUAAUUGUUUUGGAUAGGUUAACUUAUAGUAAGUAGUAUCUAUGAGGUGCCAAUUUAAAAUGACAUACUUGAAAUACUUAUAAUUUGCAAUUUAUGUGAUCCCUAUGUUAAUAGAAUUGAUGUCUACACUCACCUAUGCUUGAUGGAAAAUAUGCAGUUGCUAACUUAGGCACUCGGAAGCCACAUUAUGGUCACUUUUGUCGGGUUUUAGAUUGCAACAAAAGAAAAACAACAUGGUGAACAAGGAGUGAGCAUUUUAUCAAACACGUAAAUAGCGUCUCAGCUAGCAGUGUGUUGAUGAUCGUUAUUGACACACUUUUACGCUUGUUUAUCUCCAAUAAUGACAUUAAUUUAAUACAUAAACUAUUGAUCUCACCUAAUAAACUGGUCAUUUUCACAUGUGCAACAUAUUUUAGAGGAUAUUCUGUUUUUCAGGAAAUUGGACCUAAAAGUGUAUUUUUGGAUAAAGCCUCAAACAAGCAGUGAACAUGUCAAAGAUGAAGGCUAGUAGGCUCAGAAAGAGCCCAGGCUAAUUUGGCUGGUGAAGCUCAAGCCGAUCAGCCAGGGGUCUUCUGGCCUCUCCAUUGCUCAUUUCUGGCAAGCACUUCUCUAAGAUUACUUAAGGGCUAAGUUUGUAAAGAUAUAGCAAGGAUCACUUUGGGAUCAAAGAAGAAUCAAAGAGGAUAAAGCUGAGAUUUGAAAAGUUAUUGAAGAUCAAUCUCAUCCUGAAGCUAUCGACGUGUUAGGUCCACAUGCAAGUGAAAAUAAGGCUCCUGAGCAUCUAAGGAGACUUGAGAACGAAGCAGGACGUAAGGGGCCAAAAGGAAGGCCCAGGGCAAUUGGCCUGGACCCUCCUAGGCCGAUCAGCUUGGGGCUUUCCUUCGUCCCCUCACCUUCCAAUUUUUGCCACAUGCUCUCCAGACUAUAAAUACCCCAAAAAACUACCGAGCCUUAGAUCCAAGAUGACGUACUCGACGUGAAGCAGCAGAGAAGUAGAAGGAGCUUGAGGGACACCAGUUCGGAGAGCCGAGGGCCGUGUAGUUGUUAGGGGUUAGCGUAGCUGAAUCUCUGCCGGCAUGAUCACCCUGCGGAAUGAUCACACUGGAUUUCUAGGUCUAGGAGUCAUCAAGAUCAUGGUAGGAUCCUGGUGGUGAUCUUGUGAUGUACAAUUAUUCAUGGUAAAGUAACAGAUGUGUUUUUGUUCUUAGUGAUUUAGCUAUCUCCUUCUAUGGUUUUAUGCUCUCUUAGGUUUGCUUGCUUUUCAAUCUAUGAUCGAUGAUAGAUUGCUUAGGAUGUUCUUAUGGUCGUGGUGACCGGAUUUGCAUGCCUAAACUACCGAUGAGUAUAACAUGUUCUUUUGAUUGUGCUCUUAGUCUACCUAUGCUGAUAGAGGGGAUCAUGAUGGGAUCUUUCUUGUGUAAGAUAGAGGUUUCGAUAGCUGGGUCGGAGGUUUAGAUUUAAAGAUGCUUUCUACUAAGAUCAUAUCUAUGUUGCUUUGAUAUCCAUGCUCGAAAUUAAAACUUAUGCAUAGUCUAGGUUGCUCUAGAUUGGUUACAUCUGCUCUAUCUGUUAUCUGUCUGUACAUACUUAGUAGAUUGGAUCCGAGUCUCACAUAAACACCAAGUUAAUACUAGUCGAAAUAGAUCUUGCACUAUAAGUUCCAUGGAUUGAUAAACCUUGGGGAAGUACUCUGAGGGAAGAGCUACGUGCGCUUGUGGUUCACAAAUUGGCGUUGUAACAGCCGUCAACACACUGACAGAAGCACCAUGACGGAUUAGCUAUAGUGUGAUGGGUGACAAAGGGCUGCAACUGGGUCCUAAUUAGUGUUUCUGGAUGAGGCGUGUGGUGGUAUAUACUUGACGCCAACCGAGGAGAAAACCAUUGUCACCGGCGCUAGUUGCACAUCAACUAACCCACGCUCGAAACAUUAGCGGAUAGUAGGCCUGUGGCAUGGCAUGGCUAGUCGUGUGGUGGAAUGUGGGAGCGGUGGCAUGGCAUCAUAGAGCACAGGCGUUGCAUGGUGGUCCUACUCUAGAUGGUAAAACCAGAGCCACAUGUCACUGGGUAUGCAGGCAUGACUACCAGUAGGUGAUAACGCUGGGCCUGCCAAUUACAUGAAAUGUGGCAACGACGGCGACUACUGGUGCUAUUGAUGGGUUGGCGGCUGCGAGGUGCACGGGCGCCACGGCUGUCGAAAGAGGUGGAAUGGCUGAUGAUGCGGGGGUAGGGGUGGGCGAGGCACUACUCAGGGAUGAAACAACAUGAAGGUUGUGCGAAGGGUAUCAUAACUAUAAGGAAUCAGUGCUCGUAGCAUAAGAGGGGGAGGGGGUGAACUAGGCAACUUAAAACUUAACAUAUGACUUUCACUACUUUGCAUGUAACUAAACUAGAUCUUUCUAUCCUAGAAGUGCAUUCUAUGGUUGAUCUAGUGUGCAACCCUUAUCCUAGAAGUGCAUUCUAUAGCCAAUCCUAUCAAGAUACUAUUCUAGGAAAGUAAAGGCACACAAGUUGCAAGUAUGAAAUGUGGAAACAUAAGUGGUUACGAUGAGGGGAAGUAAACUCUUGACACGAUGAUUUAUCCCAUAGUAUCGGUAGGCACUAAGCCACCACUAGUCCACGUUGUUGAAGCACUCACAUAAGAGUAUUGCUUCCCGAUCACCAAGUCUCUCCCAAGGUGCCUCUUAACUUGCCACAAAGGCUCGGCCACUAAGGCUCACGCCAAGUUCCUCGGUCACCUUAAUGCCGUCUCCACUAAGGAGCUUCUCCACGAAGGGAGGGGUCUCCAUGUCCCCCGCACAAGGUCGUCGAUGCCGCUCCACACCAAGCUGGAGGGGCGAAGACUUGCCGGCGAGCCACCAAGGCUCCAAGGCGCUGACACACUCUCUUGUACAGUGGUGGUUCACUCUAGAACCUCAUCACAAGGUUGGCAUACCUUGCACUCACUCCUCUCUAAGCCUAUCCUAGCACUAAUCACUCUCCUAAGCUUGUAGUAAGCUUUUGAUGGAUCACUUAAGAACUUUUGGUGGCUUGGAUGUGUUCUUGAUGAGUCUUGUUCAAUGCAUCCCUAGACACUACAACCACUCCAAAUGAGCGAGUGGUGGGGUAUAAAUAGCCCCAAGGGCUCAAAGAGUCGUUGCUCUAACAACUAGUGAAAAAGUAUACCAUCGGAUGUUCCGAUGGUCUAUUUUUGGCCUGCAUCGAAACAUCCGGUUCAACUAGCUGUAGGACUGCCCGCGACCAAAUUCCUCAGGAAUUCAUCUGACGCUUUAUCCAAUGGUACCGUCAGAUCAUCCAGUGCUGAAAGCAUUCUGGCCAAAACCUUCUGGAAGGGAUCAAAGAAAUAUGCUUUGUCUGACGCUCCUCUUGCGCGUACCGUCGGAUCAUCCGAUGCUAUUAGAUUUUUUUCGUCUUCCAAUCCUAUCCCUUAGAUUCGUCUGAUGAUACUAGAAAAGUGACCAUCGAAUCAUCCAAUGGUUGACUUUGCCUGGUCUUCUUCGCAGCGUACCAAUUACUCCAACGCUUUUCUGGAGGGGCAUCGGAGCAUCUGAUGGUGCAUUUUUCAUUCCAAUUCAUCCAAUGCAAGCACCAAAGAUACCUGUUGGGGGGAAAUAUUAACGACCUCCUAAUACCGCUUAAAGCAACAGUCAUGAAGGCCCAGGCCCACCUGCGGUAAUUACGAUUACCGCCGACCCAGUAGAGGCAGAGAACAUCCCACUCCGUCUCGCCCGACCCGGGGCCCCGGGGUCGGACAAUCCCGACCCCUCAAUGGCGGGACUCCGCCUCGCCCGACCCGGAGUCCUGGGGUCAGACGCUCCCGACCCCUAGAAGACUAAACUCCACCUCGCCCGACCCGGAGUCCCGGGGUCGGACGCUCCCGACCCCUAGAAUACUAAACUCCGCCUCGCUCGACCCGGAGUCCCGGGGUCGGACGCUCCCGACCCCUAGAAGACUAAGCUCCGCCUCUCCCGACCCUGGGAACCAAGGUCAGGAGCGCCCGACCCCCACCACAGAAACUCCGCCUCGCCCGACCCUGGGCGCUGGGGUCGGACUCGCUCGGGUCCACAAGAUGAAUAUUCGCCUCGGGCGCGGACUAGAGGAUCAGGAUGACGAUCUCGUGGGUCCCCCUAUUGACCUCGCCAUAAAUGCGCCGCGGCCCUGGUAUGUAGAACGGAGUUGGCGCUCCCAACACGACCCGACACAAGUAUCCAUGCACGACCGUGCGGCGCGAGCUACAGCGGCCACGGCUCCCUCCGAUUCGCUAUAGGGUACUCAUGGCCUGCGCUGCUCGGCACAGGAGGCCGUUCCGCCCGUUCUCGCGCCCCGCGCUUCCGGUGACAGGGACGCGAUGUCCAUGUCCCACGGGUCAUCAGCGAGAUAACAGGACCAGCCGUCCUCCCCGACGGGCACGGACGCCGCAACUGAACAUCAUCAUCAUGCCUGGCGUCAGCGGCCAUCAGGGAGAUCGUCGACAGGACCUGGAGGCAACCGCCCUCUUCUGGCGGACGCGCUGACAGGAGCCGGAGGCCAGAGCGAGGGGCGGCGGUCCUGGAACUUGGAUCCUCUCCUUAUGUUGUAUUUUACUUAGCUAUUGUUUAUCUUUUUUACUCCUCCCCACACUCGGUCUCGCCUGUAACCCCGGUGGUCUCCUUACGCUAUAAAAGAAGAAUCGGGGACCUGAGACAGGGGGGCUUCCAGGAAAAUAGAACACACCCGCACCCGCUUAGAGCACGAGCGCACUCUCAAGAGACCUGGGAUCGGUUCCCUCUCUCGCACUACUGAAACCCCUACUACAGAACCCCGCGUGGGUAACACAAGCAUCUCCCGAUACUGGAUGUAGGGCCUUCCUUUGCCCGAAUCAGUCUAACCCCGUGUCUCCCACGCCACCAUCCGAAGCCUUACGCGCAUAAAAGAAAUUUACUAGUCUAGAGUCUUGAUCCGCAAAUCUUGACAACGACAAUACCAUACUUAGAUGGUCUAGAAUUAUUCUCUAGGUUUUCUCUAUCAUUUGGAUGCUUCAAUAUCAUAGAAUAAUCCUAGAUAUCAUGGCUUGGUCACUUAGAUACCAUAGCUUGGAUACUCGAAUACCAUGACUUGGAUACUCGAAUACCAUGAUUUGGAUGUCAAAAAUACCAUCAUUUGGACAUUGCCCUGAUUUGGUUUGCGAAGCAAAAGUCACUUUCGAAGGUUUAGUUACGUCUUGGGACCUAGAAAACUAGAAGGUACAUGCUAGAUAAAGCAUUAGUCCCAGUGACUAUGUUGUCACUCAAUCACCAAAAUCACAAACUAUAGCUUAAUGAGGCCAUGUUCGCUACAAUAACGCAAGCAGUGCAAGUCCGAGAUCGACGACCGAGAAAGAGUAAGCUGAGAUUGAACGGUCUACAAAGUCAGAUGAUGUGGUCCAAUAAGAUGUGCGAGCUUGGUCCAAUAAGAUAUAGCCAAAUUACUCUAGGUCUAUCUAGCAGCAAUGAUGAGACGAAUCCAAGAUCAUUUAUAACCUUCAUUUUCUUGAUAUACUGAGGCCCUAUUUGGAAGGGUGCUAAAUUUUAGCCCUCCCCUCUUUUAGCCCAAUUUUAGUACUUGUGUUGCCAAACAGGUGUGCUAAAGGUGGGGUGCUAAACUUUAGCCCCCCUUCCUUUAGCCCCUCCAAGGGGUGCUAAACUAUGCUAAUGUGGGCUAAAAGUGGUCCCAACGCCAUCUUUUCCCUAGUUGCCCUCCCGCACUCCCUCUUUCUCCUCCGCAAUGCACCCUCCGCCCGCGCCGCCACCUCCGCCGGCCAAGCCGCCUCCGCCUGAAGUCCUCCUCCCGCUUCUUCUUCGCCUACUCAGGCUCGAUCUCCUCCUCCCCGGAGGAGGCACGUCGGGCUCAUUGUCGACAGGUGCUAGAGCUUUCCCGGACCUCGCGGAGGAUGACCAUCUUCCCCGGACCUUGUAGUGUGUUACGGGCACCGCCUCCUACUUCUCCUUAGUGGCUGGCGAUGACGCGGAGGCUGACAUGUCCCUCCCGCGAGGCGAGCAUGCCGGGCGGCGCAGUGGAACUGGAGCCUGGAGGGAGAGAAGUGGAAAGGCAGGCAGAUUGGGGAAUUUCCGGACAGCGCCCCCUCGCCUCUGUGCAUCUGGAGCUGGAAGAAGAGAGGAGGAAGGAAUGAAGUAGGGGUAAACAUGUCUUUUAUAAACCAAGGUGCUAAAGUUUAGCACGGUACCCAAACAGCCCAAGGAGGCUAAACUUUAGCCCUCCAUUUGAGGGGGCUAAACUUUAGCACUGGGCUAAAGUUUAGCCUCUUGUAUCCAAACGUAGCCUGAGUUGGAUCAACUUUGGUUUCCUGAUCAAUAUUAUAAACUAUUCCAUACUCCCAUGAUUUAUCAGAUUUUCUCCUCCACCAAUGAGAUUAAUUUGCACGGCUUCCUUUGCGCAUUAUUCCCUCGCAUUGCACAUGUUUAUCAUUUACCUCUCUGACUAGUACAACAACUCGGUUUGUAUCCUUAGGUGAUAUAAUCCGAGAAGCCAUAGGCUCAUCACGGUGGGUGAAGUUUGUGCUUGUCCUUGUGGAGUUCAUGGCGUUGGGGUGUGGGGGCCGAUGAAUGUUGCUGGUGGGGCAUAUGAGAGGUGGCGUCAACAGGGUCGAAGGAUGGGAGCAAUGUGAUAGGAGUGUAUUGGGAUGUUGGAGGUAGAGAGGGGGAAAGACAAAUAAGGUUCACAAGUAGGGUCCAUGUACAUGACAUGGCAAAAAGAGUAACUCAAAACCAAACUAAGGAUAGUUUGAAUAUUUUGAUCGUUGUAGGGUGCAUGAUUUCUAAUUUUCGAGUUAAUUUGGGGGUGUUUUUUACUAGGUACAAGUUCAAGUGGUAAAAUAGAUAACAACAUGAUCUUCUAAAAAUAUUGUUUUAAGUAGCGGGAUAUAACAUUUAGCAGAGAAUUUUGUUUAGCGGUGAUAGCCCAUUAUUUAGUACAACAUUGUUGUGGUGACAAUCUGCAGAGAAGUAGAUAGGAAAACACCACACGCCCUAAUGAGGGGGGGUGACCUCUAUAUAUGGGGCCAAUAUGGCUUGGAGUACAAAGAAUACAUCAAGUAUACAAGGAAAGGAUAAAUACAUCCUAAUAUACACAUAUACUUCCUAAUACCCGCCCGCAGUCGAAGCGGGAGGAUCACAGACGCACAGACUGGACCUAAACUUAGUAAACAAAGGAGUUGGCAGGCCCUUCGUCAUGAUAUCCGCGAACUGGUGAGAGGACAACACAUGGAGGAUCCGGACCUCACCUAAGGCCACUUUCUCACGAACAAAGUGAAUAUCAAUCUCGAUGUGCUUCGUACGCCGAUGACGCACCGAGUUUGCUAUCAUGUAGACAGUACUCACAUUGUCACAGUAGACAAUAGUGGCCGAAGCAAGCGGGACAUGAAGCUCCUGAAAAAGUGGACGGAGCCAGCAACAUUCUGCCACAGCAUGAGCCACAUCACGGUACUCCACCUCAGCACUGGAACGAGACACCGUGAUCUGGCUCUUGGAGGACCAAGACACCAUAUUGUCACCGAGAUAGAUGCAGAAGCCGGAGGUGGAGCGUCUAGAGUUUAGGCAGCCAGCCCUGUCGGCGUCGGAGUAGGCAGUUAAAGACUGAACAGGACCGGUGCCGAUGUGAAGCUUGGAGGAGAGCGUGCCCUUGACAUAGCGUAGGAUGCGCUUGAUCAGGGCCAUGUGGAGCUCGUGCAGGUCAUGCAUGAAGAGGCACACCUACUGAACUGCAUAUGCCAGGUCAGGUCGAGUCAGAGUGAGGUACUGAAAAGCCCUAGUAAGACUCUGAUACUCAGAGCCGUCCUAAAUCUUGGCGCCGUCGUGUGCCGAAAGCUUGGCAUGAGUGUUAACGGGAGUUGCUGUAGAGUGACACUCAGUCAUGCCAGCAUGCUAAAGUAGAUCCAGGGUGUACUGUCGCUGAUACAGGAACAUGCCCUGGGAGAAACGCGUGAUGGAGAUGCCGAGGAAGUGGUGUAGGUCACCAAGAUCCAUCAUGGCGAACUCGGAGUGAAGAUGCCCCAUGAUGUGCCAAAGAAGAGUCGAGGAUGAGGCAGUGAGGAUGAUGUCGUCGACGUAGAGCAGCGGGUAGGUAAUGCUCGGCCCCUCUUUGUACAAAGAAAGAGGUGUCGGAGGUAGAGGCGAUGAAGCCGAGCUAGCGAAGGAAGGAGGCGAACCGCUGGUACCACAUCCUCGGGGCCUGCUUCAGUCCAUACAAGGACUUCUGCAGGAGACAGAUGUGAUCGGGGGCGGCGGGGUCGACAAAGCUAGGAGGCUACUAGUAGUACACAGUCUCCGUGAGGUGUCCAUGAAGAAAUGCAUUCUUCACAUACAACUGGUGGAUCGGCCAAGCGUGAGAAGUGGCGAUACUAAGGACGGUCCGUAUCAUCGUCGGUUUGACGACCAGACUGAAUGUCUCAUCGUAGUCAAUGCUGUGACACUGGGAGAAGCCACAAACCACUCAGCGCAUCUUGUGUCGGGCAAGGGACCCAUCGACAUGGAACUUAUGCCGGAAGAUCCACUUGCCCGACACGACAUUAGCACCGGGCGGCUGCGGGACGAGGCGCCAGGUGUCAUUGUUGAUGAGGGCCUGGAACUCGUCCACCAUGGCGGCACGCCAGUUGGUGUCAGCUAGAGCACUGCGAUAGUUCGCCAGAAUCGGAGAGGACGGAGAAGAAGUUAAGGCCAUCAUACAAUAGUAAUGGCACUGCUGGAUUGCCCUAGUCAUAGACUGAGUGACCUGGCACAGAGGGGCAGGUGGCGAUGAGGAGGGCGCAGAAGGGAGGACCGUGGGAACUGGCUCGAUCGGUCAGAGCGCACGCUGGUGCGGUCGGAGUGCACGCCCGACCGAUCGGAGCGCUUUCCGGUGCGGUCGGGGCGUUCACCGGUGUGGUCGGGACGCUCGCGUGACCGAUCGGAGCAUGUGUCAGUGCGGACAGUGCGAUUGGGGCCGCAUCUACGCGUGACGUGGUCGCUGUUGGAGUAGUCGGGAGUGCUGCGGUCACGAUUGGGGCCGCACCCGCACGCACCGCGGUCGCGGUCGGAAGUGCUGUAGUCACAGUCGGAGCAGUCGGGAGCGCGGUGGAGAGCGGUGACGCACCCGCAGACAGAGCGGGGUACACGGCCGGCCCGUGGAAUAGGAUGGCGGGGUCGUCAUUGGUGAGGUCCUGCAAAACAACUGGAGAAGGCCGUGGCUGCUCAACAUCUAACGACGGAGCGACCGAGGUGGAAGUAGGAAAAUCGGAGGGGCUCGACAAAAGGAAGUCGACUUGUGAUGGGGUGAGUAGGAUGGGAGGAGAAGGGAAAGAUAGACUCAUCGAAGACAUUAUGGCGAGAGAUGAUGACUCGAUGGGUGGACAAGUCAAGGUAGCGGUACCCCUUGUGAGAGGAGGGAUAGUCGAGGAAGACACAGGCUACGGAGCGAGGAGCAAGCUUGUGGCGUGCCGUGGCUAAGAGGUUAGGGUAGCAAAGACAACCAAAAGCACACAAGUGAGAGUACUCGGGAGGCUGGGAGUAGAGGAGGCGGUAGGGGAUGUCAUUCUGAACGGCAGAACAGGGGCGUCGAUUCAGAAGAUAGGUGGCGGUGGUGAGCACCUCGGCCCAGUAUGGGGUGGCCAUGGAGGUGUGAAUGAGCAAUGUGCGAGUCACAUUAUUAAGGGUGCGUAGGACACGCUCGGCUUUUCCAUUUUGGAAGAAGUGUAGGGACACGAGAGGUGCAAGUGGUUACCUCGAGAAGUCAAAAAGGAUAUGAGAGUCUUAUUGACAAACUCGAUCCCGUUGUCAGCUUGGAUGCUUCGAACAGGAAGACUAAACUGCGUGUGAGCAUAGGCGCAAAAAUCAGUGAUGUGGGAGAUGAUUUCAAACUUGUGAACUAGAGGAAACAUCCAACAAAAAUGCGAGAAUUCAUCCAAAAUGACUAGGUAGUAGCGAUAACCAAAGAUGCUAGCUACGGGAGAAGUCCAAACAUCACAGUGAACUAACUUAAAAGGAGCAGAACUGCGAGAGCUAGAAUGUGAGAAAGGUAAUCACACAUAUUUCCCUAGCUAACAUGAAUGACAUAGAGUAUGACUAUCUUUAUUACAAGUAAUGGAGGAAGUUUGUCUAAGUGUGGCGAUGGCGGUAGGACCAGGAUGACCGAGAUGGAGAUGCCACAAACUGGAGGAGAUGGCGAGGUCGGUGUGGGGCGCUGCAAAGUUGGCUGCAGGAGGCAUGGUGUAAAGAUCGCCGGUGCUAUUGCAGUGAAGAAUCACGCGUCUGGUCGGAAAAUCCUUGACAGAAAAACCAAAAGCGUCAAACCCUAUGGUGCAGUUAUUGUCCUUAGUAAACAGAUGAACAGAAAGCAGAUUACGAAUCAGAGAAGGAACAACAAGGAUAUUGUUAAGACAAAAGUGAGAGGUGGGGGUGGUAAGGGUGGAGUUACCACGGCACGUGACAGGAAGGGUGUGAUCGUUACCGACAGUAAUAGAGGAGUGAGAGGGAGGGAGUCGGGAGAGAAGAAUAGCAUUCGAGGACGUCAUGUGGCUGGAUGCACCUGAGUCAACCACCCAACCGCCAUUCUGUAGCGCCAUUUGGUUAAGGGCAACAACCAGACCCGUCUGGUCCCAGGUUGACGCUUGAGUAGGCGCCUGAACAAGGGCGUAGGCGGCGUGGGCCUACGGAGGGGGGUCGAGGAGACCAGGGGCGCUGGCGCGACAACCCUCACCGCCCGACGGAUGCUGACCGCUAGUCGGCUGCAAGCCCGUGGCGUCGUAGGAGCCGGCCCCUGGACUGAAAUAGAACCACGAGCCAGUGGGUCGUGGGGGCUUGCCACCUUGGGAGCUGCUGCCGCCAGGGGACGCCUGGAAGCCGCCGUUGCUCUUCUUCUGCCACUUCUUCUUGCCACCGCCGCCAGUCUGGAAAGAACUAGACGGUGGGCGACAUCCGCCCGUACAGCCGGAGGACAAAAACGAUGAGGAGGUCCCGGUGAGGAGGGCGGUGGAGUUGGAGAUGUUCUCCUCGUUGGCGAGGCGAAGUUCCUUCAGGGCGAGCAUGUCCCGCGUCUGGUCAAAGGAUGGGACGCCGACGAUGGAGUUAGCGAUGUCGUGGGUAGUGUUGGAGAAGCGCGGGUUGAGGCCACGGAGGAGGUUUAGGACAAGCCGGGAGUCCUGAACAGGAUGGCCAACAUCGCGGAGGGCGUCGGCGAGGGUCUUCAUGUGGCUAGAGUACUCGGCGAUGGAGGAGUCAUCCUGUGUCAUAGAGUGGAAGUCAUGACUGAGGAAGAUCACUCGAGACUACUUGUUGGCGCGAAAGAGGCCCUUGAUGGCAAGCCAAAGAUCCCAAGCGGUCUGAUCGUCGUCGGUCAUGGGGAGGUCGAGAACGGAGUCGUCGAUGGAGCCAAAAAACCAGGAGCGGACGCAAUAAUCCGCUUGAUCCCAAUCGGGGUCCUGGGACGGGGCGCCACCAUGCCAUCAAUGUGCGACUUGAGGCCGAACUUGCCAUACAUGAACUUGAAGAAGGACGCUCAUCUGAAGUACUUGUUGGACUUUAUCAUCAGCGUCACGGGGACAUGAGACUUGACGAAGAUGGUGGCGUAGGGGUGGAUGACGGGCGGCGACGCCGGGUACAUGAUGAAGCCACCACCGUCGUUGCCGGGUGCAUCGUCGGCAAGAGGAGCUUGAGGUGCACCACCAGAGGAGCCGCCAAUGUCGGUGGCGGCACAGAUGCACCACCAUUGGCAGCAGGGGGCGGUCCAGGAUUAGCAGCAGAAGCGGUGGUGUCGCCAGACAUAGAGGAGAUGGCGAAAGACAUGGCGCAUGACCGCGGGAGGGGGGGAGGGGGAGGGGCGAGCCGGUCGAGGAGCCGGUGGUGGGAGGGAAGCCGGUCGGGGAGGUGCCACGGAGGGUGGGUGGCGGCAGCGUAGCAGAUGGGGCGCCGCCUAGGGUUGCGCGGAGUAGGGGGAAGAUGCAGGGAGAGGAGACCCACGAUCUAAUCUCGUGAUACCAUGUAGAGAAGUAGAUGGGAAAACACUACACGCCCUAAUGAGGGGGUGACCUCUAUAUAUAUGGUCAAUAUGGCUUGGAGUAUAAGAAAUACAUCAAGUGUACAAGGAAAGGAUAAAUACAUCCUAAUAUACACAUAUACUUCCUAAUACAACUGCUCCAGGGUUACUAUAACUCUGGUAUUUAAAAUACACGCCUUUGGAACAAUGGAAAAGUAGGAAUUUUAGAGAAUUUAGGUCCUAUAGAAAAUUUAUAGGAAUUUUAGAGAAUUUUAGGUCCUAUAGAAAAUUUUCCUUUGAAGCCCUUUGCCCUUUGGAACAAAGGAUUGAAUCCCUACCAAUCCUACGAAAUCCCUAUAGAAUGGCUUAUUCCAUAACAAUUUUGGAGGAAUUCUACCAAGAGAUUGGAGCAAGUACAUUGCUACACUUCAACAGUCUUAUGCAGUGCCACGUAUUAUUUUUGUUGAUGUAGAGAGGAGAGACUGAGGAAAGAGAAAUAUGUCGUUGUUUCGCAAAACAAUCGUCUCAUAGGCUAGAUUUUAGAACUAUAAGACGACUACUCUACCAUUGUACGAGUUGUGGUUGACAUGCAACUCAUAAUUUUUUUCUAUGCACAAAUUAAGAAAAUAGAAUUACUAUGAGAUAACUUAAAAAGACAAUCCAUUGUAUGAAUCAUUUGUUAAGUCGUCUCAAAAUUACGUGUCAAUGCAUGAGACCGUCUAUUAGACUACACCAAUGUAGUUGCUCUUAGACCUCAUGGAUAAUUUUCUUUGUCUCACUUUCUCUCAUCAUCCAAUUAUUGUAUUUUUUCCUGUGCACCAUCCAAACGAUUGUUGCUGCACUUUUCAUGUAUUUUCCAUUCCACAUGAUUCAAGGUACAAUGAAAUUUCAUUCCUACAUAUUUCCUAUUUCUAUAUCGUUCCAAAGAAGGCAUUAAAGGGUAGAAUCACUAUACUCUUGUAUGGGUAAAUAUGUCAUUUCAUCUCUACAAGGCACAAAAGCCUAGAUCUAAUGGCAGUCACGAAGGGGGGUGCGGGGGAGCGAAGGGCAAACUUGAUGGCAAUCUAGUAAAUAUUAGCAAAACCAGGGGCAAACGUUAUGGCAAGUUGAAUUUUGAAUUGGCGCGGUGGCAUAUUUUGCCGCGACCAUCCUCUAAAGGGAAACCCACUCCUCCUCCCACCUCCUUCCGUUGUGGGCCCCCGCACUCUCCCUGUUCCUCAACCUCCGCCACCGGAGGCCCCGUGACUCGUCGUCGCCGCCGCGGCAGCAAGGGCACGGGCUCCUGACUCGAUCCGCGAGUUUUCCCCGGGGCGAGCCCUCCCCACCUCGUGGGUCCGGGCGGCGCUUCCCCAAUUGCCGUCGCGACUGAAGCGACGCGAGGGAGCUAGCGCCACGCCCCCGCCGCUCCGUCCAAGUGACGCCGUCCGUUGGCCUUCCCGUCCGGCGGCGCCGCCCCUACAUGUGAGUUCUUCCCCUUUCUCCUCUCUCCGUCCAAGUGACGCCGUCCGUUGGCCUUCCCAUCCGGCGCCGCCGCCCCUACAUGUGAGUUCUUCCCCUUUCUCCUCUCCUACAACGCCUAGGGUUUGUACUCCUCUCUCCUGAUUCCUAGAUCUUGCAAAUCUUUGUGAUAAGUUGUGCGUCGGCAAGCUACUGGAGGACCUCAACUGCACUAUCCGUCAAGGUAUGUCCGUGCUGCUCUUAUUUCUUGCUUUUAUCCUGGGGAACACAAAUGUCGAUGAGCGAGAAGGAUGCAUAAGCACCUGAGCUGCAAGUAUCAUAAGUAGAUGCGUGAUUCAGAAUGUUUGGAUACUGCGUGCUAAACUUUAGCAGUGUCACGUCAGAUGUUGGGAUGCUAAUUAUAAAACUNNN
rnacentral:lncRNA from 1 species